UUGUUUGUGGUGCAAAUUAACUGAUUAAUACUACAGUUCAAUCUGCAAAUCAAGCCCUUUAUUUUGGACCUCUUAGGCUUCACGUGGAGCUAAAAAGAGCCUUUAAAGUUGAAAAAUGUUACAAAAAAAAUGUGUGAUGUCAUAUUCUAGUUCUCUAGUGUCUAAUAUCUUUAUCAUGGGUCAAGAGUGUGCAAGUAUACAGUAUAUCUGUUCGUAGUU
rnacentral:lncRNA from 1 species